rnacentral:rRNA from 1 species
UACGGAGGGUGCAAGCGUUGUUCGGAAUUAUUGGGCGUAAAGGGCGUGUAGGCGGUCUUUUAAGUCUGAUGUGAAAACCCCGGGCUCAACCUGGGAAGUGCAUUGGAUACUGGAGGACUUGAGUACGGGAGAGGGCAGUGGAAUUCCUGGUGUAGGAGUGAAAUCCGUAGAUAUCAGGAGGAACACCGGUGGCGAAGGCGGCUGCCUGGACCGAUACUGACGCUGAGACGCGAAAGCGUGGGGAGCAAACAGG